rnacentral:rRNA from 1 species
AAAGUGACGGUUCCCUGCAGAAGAAGCGCCGGGCUACUACGUGCCAGCAGGCCGCGGUAAAUACGUAGGGCGGCAAGCGUUAUCCUGAAUUAUUAGGCGUAAAGAGCUCGUAGCGGUUUGUCGCGUCUAUCGUGAAAGUCCGAGGCUCAACCUCGGAUCUGCGGUGGUACGGGCAGACUAGAGUGAUGUAGGGGAGACUGGAAUUCCUGGUGUAGCGGUGAAAUGCGCAGAUGUCAGGAGGAACACCGAUGGCGAAGGCAGGUCUCUGGGCAUUAACUGACGCUGAGGAGCGAAAGCAUGGGGAGCGAACAGGAUUAGAUACCCUGGGUAGUCCAUGCCGUAAAACGUUGGGCACUAGGUGUGGGGGACAUUCCACGUUUUCCGCGCCGUAGCUAACGCAUUAAGUGCCCCGCCUGGGGAGUACGGCCGCAAGGCUAAAACUCAAAGGAAUUGACGGGGGCCCGCACAAGCGGCGGAGCAUGCGGAUUAAUUCGAUGCAACGCGAAGAACCUUACCAAGGCUUGACAUGUGCCAGACCGCCGUGGAAACACGGUUUCCCCUUUGGGGCUGGUUCACAGGUGGUGCAUGGUUGUCGUCAGCUCGUGUCGUGAGAUGUUGGGUUAAGUCCCGCAACGAGCGCAACCCUCGUUCUAUGUUGCCAGCACGUGAUGGUGGGGACUCAUAGGAGACUGCCGGGGUCAACUCGGAGGAAGGUGGGGACGACGUCAAAUCAUCAUGCCCCUUAUGUCUUGGGCUUCACGCAUGCUACAAUGGCCGGUACAAUGGGUUGCGAUACUGUGAGGUGGAGCUAAUCCCAAAAAGCCGGUCUCAGUUCGGAUUGGGGUCUGCAACUCGACCCCAUGAAGUCGGAGUCGCUAGUAAUCGCAGAUCAGCAACGCUGCGGUGAAUACGUUCCCGGGCCUUGUACACACCGCCCGUCAAGUCACGAAAGUUGGUAACACCCGAAGCCGGUGGCCUAACCCCUUGUGGGAGGGAGCCGUCGAAGGUGGGGCUGGAD